UCUUCCGCUUCCGACCGGAAGCACCGCGGCGUAUUUCCGGCCGCCGUUGCCAUGGCAACGCACGCAGCAGCGAGGCCCGCGGGAGGCCCGGCAUGGAGGCGGCCGGCGGGACCGAGCCGCGCCUGGUGGAGCGGCUGCGCGGGCUGCGGAGCCUCCUGGAGGCCCGGCAGCGGCACCUCCGGACCCGCAUCGAGGCCUGCGAGGAGCUGGCGGCGGAGCUGCAGGGGCUGAGGGCCGCCCUCCGCGCCGCCCGCCGCUCGCCGCCCGCUGAACCCGCCCCGAGCGGCAGGAGGGCUUCGCCUGCGGAGGAGGAGGAGGAGGAGGCCGACCCCUGAAACGCCCUUAAGGGACUGCGCUCUGCCUGGUCCGGGGGGAUUGCUCCAAGAGUUUGUCUUCGUACGAGGUCUGGGAUUUGAGCACAGCUGCGCAAGCGCAACUGAGAGGGACUAAGUCUGCAGCUGAAGGCUCCAAAACUUGCUACGUAAUGCCAGGAAUAAAUAAUAAUAAUAAUAAAACUCAGUUAAGUCGGGGAAUGUAGCUUAUUCCCUCAGUUGCGGCC